UUCUUCUAGCUUUUAUAAUUCUGCAGGAGAACUGAAUGAACUUGCCCUGAAGAAAAUACUGUCAGGCUGUAAGAAGAAUGUAAUAGGAUGGUACAAAUUCAGACGUAACUCAGACCAGACCAUGACAUUCCGGGAAAGAGUUCUUCAUAAAAACCUGCAGUCACACCUAUCAAAUCAGGGGCUUGUAUUCCUCCUUUUAACCUCUAGUGUGAUGACAGAAAGUUGUUCUACUUACAGAUUGGAACAUGCUCUACAUCGGCCACAGGAAGGUCUUUUCCAGAAAGU